UAUACAUGGUUAUCGUAGGAGCUGCCAACUGUUGUUGCAGUGCCUUUGAUUUUUGAACUUUUUGAAGAUUGCUUUUUCACAUUAUUGUGUCAAGGAUGGAGUGGUGGCAAAAGCUCAGGAGGGCUUGGCUUCUCUUCACUGCCAGAGUGUUCAAAGCACGUAAAGAUGGUUAGCUGCUCUUUUGAUGCUUCAAUUGGUAAAAUGGAUAUGGUUUUCACUUGGGUUUCCAACGAUUUGCUUUGAUUAGCCUCCAGAGGUGCUUUGAUGGUUAAUUUGUUGUCAAUUCUUUGAUUUCUGAUUGUUUGAUUUCCUCUCUGAUAUAUUACUGUUGAUACUGAUUUAGUUGGUUUUUAAGAACACUGAUCAGUUAGUGACCCCUGAAUGUGAAAUUUCAUUUCGCAUUAAUCUCACAUUGAUACUGCCUUCGCUGCUGCAGAGAAGUUGCCACCCUAAUUUUAUGGUAAAAAAGAAUGUAUAUACAUACAUAUAUAUUUUAUAUAUAUAUAUACACACAUACACACACACACAUAAAAUUUGGUUUUCAGGAAUUUAUUUACCUUUUCUUCUCCAGUUUUUUUAAAAAAACAUGCAUGCAUAGGAUCGUAAGCCAUCGGGAUAUAUGGGGUCUUCGAAGCCGCUAAAAGUUCUAGGGCAAAGCACUCUUGCUUUCUAGUAUUUUACGUAUAAUGAAUUACACUUGCUGUUUAAUUUUUUUUAAUUACGUAAAACUGUCUAAUUAUCUUAUUGCUUUCAACUAGAUGACUUAUUUGUUACUUAAAGGCAGUGCAAUUGCAUCUUUUCAGGUUAGCUUCAAUCUUUUCUUAUACCAAAACAAUUGGAAGUUUUUAUUACGAAUUCGAAGGAAUAAAAAGUGUACUAGCUAGGUGCCGUUUGAUUUUCAUUUUGUGAACACAGUUUGUGAAAAAUAAACUUCUAGUUGAAUGAAAAUUGUAGGAUACGAAUCCUUGUAAUUUACUUGGCUAGCUUGGAGCUUAUAUCAAGAACUAAUUCCUUCCUUCUUUGCUGUUGUGUUUUGGCUCCAAUAAUUUGACUUGAGAUCUUAACAAUCUUAAUGGAAAAGGGAAAAAGGUCUUUCUUCUUAUAUCCUCCAUAGGAUGGUCUCCCAACUCAAAAUUCUCUCCUUCUUUUAUGUAAUUAUUAGCUCCUUUUUUAAUGAACAUUGAUCUUCAAAUGGAGUAUUAAUGAAAGCUUUUACUCGGGAAAUCCAGGAGAGACAGAAAUGGUGACAUGCUCGCUUUCAGUAAUUAUUCUUCUGCUUGCUUCUGUAAUUAUUCUUCUGUGAUUCAUUAAUUAGAUGAUGGUUUUGCUUUUAGUAAUUAUCAAUGGUUUUAGAAAAGAAAACAUGUAUCACAUACAUGCUCAGAGAUGAUGAAAGUGUUUGCACUGUUAUAUCUUAGCGAGGAUGGAUCAAGAAAAUCAGCAAAUCCAAUCCUUGAUUACCUAGUUCUCGCAAACAACAACCUUGACCAUUUUGUGAAACAUGCAUAUAUCCACACACAAUAUCAUGGGAGGACUAAGAUUCCUAUCUCGACGUUCACCAUAGAUGUUACUUCAAUAUUGCAGUGACCAGAUUAUUGACAUCAAGCCAUUGGCCUGGUUAAUGCAGGAGGAAAUGGGAAACGCAGGAAGAACAUUACUGGUAGAGUUGAAGCCAGAAGUUCCAAUAGCAGUGAUACCCAGACAGGACUUUUAAAGCUUCGGGAUGAUGUAGCAAAUUGUGAAUAUCAAGACGUUCAUGUUAUGUGGAAUAUAGUGCUACAGCGGGGUACUUUGGACGUGAAAGAAGAUCUGGAAGAGGCGGAAAGCGCUUGUUCUUCUGAAACCAAAGAACAGCAGCAGCCAGAAAAACAGUCCUGGAGGGCCUUCUUAUCUCCUCAUUGCUCAUCAGCCCACCUCCGUUGCUUUGCUCAGUAGUUGAAUGCUACAAGUAUAAAUUGGAUGAAUUAAAAUAUAAAGCAACUGGUAUGAGAUCUAUGGACUUGUCAUUUACUGACUUGGUUUUUCAUUUAUGACUUCUCUUUUUGGCAUUUACUGACUUGGAUCAAAUAUGAGGGAUUUCUAUGCGUGCUGUGUUUGUACAUAUGCGGGCACACAUACAUGUAUGUAUGUAUGUAUAUAAAAUGUGAAUUUGAGGCACAAUUUUGCUUACGUUGUAAUGUACAUAAGAAGCAAUACAAAUG
rnacentral:lncRNA from 1 species